rnacentral:piRNA from 1 species
ACUCCCUGGAUCAGGAACCACAGU